GCGUCUGUAGCCCAGUGGUUAGGGUAUCGCCUUCCCAUCGUUUCAACGAAGUAGGCGGGGGUCAGGAGUUCGAACCUCCUCAGUCGCA